CCUGACCGAGCAACGCCACGUGAGUGAAGAAGGUUUUCGGAUCGUAAAGCUCUGUUGUUAAGGAAGAACGUGUGUGAGAGUGGAAAGUUCACACAGUGACGGUACUUAACCAGAAAGGGACGGCUAACUACGUGCCAGCAGCCGCGGUAAUACGUAGGUCCCGAGCGUUGUCCGGAUUUAUUGGGCGUAAAGCGAGCGCAGGCGGUUAGAUAAGUCUGAAGUGAAAGGCAGUGGCUCAACCAUUGUAGGCUUUGGAAACUGUUUAACUUGAGUGCAGAAGGGGAGAGUGGAAUUCCAUGUGUAGCGGUGAAAUGCGUAGAUAUAUGGAGGAACACCGGUGGCGAAAGCGGCUCUCUGGUCUGUAACUGACGCUGAGGCUCGAAAGCGUGGGGAGCGAACAGGAUUAGAUACCCUGGUAGUCCACGCCGUAAACGAUAAGUGCUAGGUGUUAGGUCCUUUCCGGGACUUAGUGCCGCAGCUAACGCAUUAAGCACUCCGCCUGGGGAGUACGACCGCAAGGUUGAAACUCAAAGGAAUUGACGGG
rnacentral:rRNA from 1 species